CUAGCCCCCUCUCUUCUCUCCCACUCCUCCUAUGCCGCCGUCGCCGCCCCUCUCCAUGGCGGCACCACCGCCUGCCGCCGUCCAAAACACCCAAAACUUCACCCAAUCUCACUCUCUUCACCCUCUACCUGAAUCCAAACUCCAUAUCUCUCAAAUCUCUCUCAAUCCUCUCAAGUCUACCCCAAAACCGAACCCUAGCCGCCGCCUAUUUUCCCGAAUUAGAAGAACUCCGGCCAUCCCUGCACUUUAAUUCUUUCAUCACCGGAUAGAUGUCUUAAAGAUCUAUCAAUCCCCCCUUGGUUUCACGGCCAAACUCCGGCGACCGUCACUGCCAUACCACCAUUACUACUUGAAAUUGCCUUCUUUUUGAGCCAUUAAGCUUGAGACGCUGUGCGCUCUUCAAUGCGUUGGUUAAUUUUUGUUACAUCGAUUGGAGAUGGCACAACAUCCCAAGUUUGGUGGCUGCCCGUUUGUUAUUCCGGCAAGGCGAUUGAUUCUCCAAGACUCGUGUAUUCGGUAAACCCUAUCUCUUUUUUUCUUUUUCUGAUUUUUUGAUUUUGUAAGUUGUAUCAGGUUUAAUGCUUAAUUUUUUAUUCAUGUUUCUGUUAGUUAUGUGUAAAUGAAUGAUGAUCAUAUAAGUUUUGAAUUACCUAUUAGUUCAUAACUUUGAAUAAUAUUUUAGCUUAGGUUUUGUUAAAUUCUGUUUUCACAAUAGUUGUGAUUGUAGUCGUUCACUAUUUUUAGUUUACUUGAAUCAGUUUAUAUCAAUCUAGUUUGUUUGAGUGUUGCUUUAUCAAUCCAUAAUUGGUUGAGUUUGAAGGUUUGAGUUUUGAAUUCAGUUAUUUAUUGAUAAAGUCAGAGGGUACUUGAGUGCAGGACCCAUGUUUGAUUGCUUUUACUAUUUUAAUAGCUAUUUUGAGUACACUGUUCCAAACACUCUACACAGUUGGUAAAGAAACUGUCCUUUAGACAUAUUUUUGACCAAAAAUCUGUCUAUUGAACUGUUGGGACAGAUUUUUUGUGGAAAAUCUAUCCUUUGGAUAGGUUGGCAAUAAUAAUUGAAUGCCACCCUCUCCUAUAAAAGGAGUUCUUUUUUCAAUUGGGCAUAUUUUUCAGACACUCUAACACACUUAGCCAUCACCUUCUACACACUAAAAAGGCGCAAAAACUUCAGAAAAGAUCAACUGAACAUACAAAAUAGUAAGCAAAUACAAAAUAAUAAGCUGAAAAUUCUGAACUUCGUGAGUGUUUCCUAGAGUGUUAAACUUGUAAGCAAAUAGAGGAAUCCUAGGUGAUUGCUGGAGAAGUAGCAACUGGUUUCAAAUACUUUCUUGCUGGAUUUUUCUGGGUUGUUUCUCGGAUCAUAAGUUGUUGAUUUUGCUGUUGUUGCAUUGCUGUUUGUUGCUGAAAUUUAGUUCCUCCCUUGCUGAUAUUUUCUUCUUGCUAUCAAGGUAAUUCUCUUAUAGUGCUACUGUAAUUUUGAGUCAAGAAUGAAUGGAGACCAAGCAAUUUGAGUUCUCUUCAGUUUAUUCUAAGCUUUUAAAAGCACUCUGUUUGUAAGGAUUUGUGUGUGAGCAUAUAUAAUAAAUAGUUGCUUUGUUAUUGUGACUCACUGUCACCUUUAUUUAUUUUUUAUUUUUUUGUGAAAAAUCGCCAAUGAAACAGCAAUGUACUGAUAUAGGUUCAAAUGUUUAAGUUGCUGUGUCUCAGUUUUUAAUAUCAUAAAUUUCAGUUAAAUGUAAAGAUAUUUCCAUGACAAAACAACAUGUUAACUUGCCUUUUCUUUCCUUGGUUUUAAACAUGGAGUAAAUAUUGUAGGUAUCAAUCAGUUUUUCUUUGUGGUUACACCACAAAUAAAAUCUGUGGUGUAGUUAUAAGAAAGUAUUUUAUAUUUCUUUGUCUCAGCCCGUAGUUGAACUUAAAUUAGGUCCUCAGCUUUAUUGGUUUUGAAAAAGUUUCUAUUUUCAUGUAGAGCAGUUUUGAUAAUGAAAUGACAUAUAGAUUCAUGUUACUCGUUUCAAGAGAACGGGAAUCCAUGGUCAUACAUCCAGCAAAUAAAAGUAUUUUCUUUUUGGGUUGAUGUUUUAAAUUAAUUGAAAUAUUGUUCCACUAAAGUAAAGUAAAACUGAAUCUCAUGUUUGGGUCUCUAUUUAAACGUUAUUUAGCUGGCCAAAAUUAAGCUUCGGAGAAUAAAAUUUGUUGUUAUGAUGACGGUCCGUUCUUCAAGUGCAAUUCUUAAGAGUAGAGUAAGUUUUCUUAUUUAAAUAAUGUUUUUUUCAUUUCCUUAUGGUUCAAUCAUUAGCAUUAAAUGAUGUUCUUGAACAAAAGUUCAUUUGAUUUGGUUGAUUUUUAAAAAAAUAAUAAUAUUAAAGCCUCAAAAGGCGAUCGUUUCAUGGCAGUAAGUCAAUUGGUCUGGGUUUAAUAAUUUAGUAAAAAUAAAGGCGAUAAAUAAAGUCCAAUAAUAUUCGUAUGUUGUCCUACCACCUUUAUUUUAUAAAGAGGCAUUUUCUUUUCAUAAUAAUGAUGAACAAUUAUUUUAUCAUAAUUUAACCCCUAUAGUAAUUUGUCUUAACUAAGGUAAAUAGUUUCGUCUUAAUUGAUGUCGGGAAGACUCGCUUCAGAAUAAAAACAUAAAUAAAUGGCAAGAUCGUGAGGUCGUCUUGUUCCAAUUCUUUCAAAUAAAUAAAAGUUUUGUUAUUUAAUUAACUUCGAGUAAACUCUAAUUUUGGAUACAACGCACGAACUAAGGUUGAGGAAACUCGUCUUGGUUAGUGUAAGGUAGGGUCGGAGGUACUCGUCUUAGUUUGAGAUUAAUAAAGUCAUCAACAAUAAAAGUGGGCAUAGGCAAACAUAAAAAUUAAAUAAAGCACAGUUUAUCCAAAAUUAAUUCAAUCCGAUUUUAGUCAAUAAAAGCGACCGUGCUAGAACCACGGGACUCGGGGAAUGCCUUACAUCUUCUCCCAGGUCAACAAAAUUCCUUACCCGGACUUUAUUUUCGCAGACCAAUAAUAAUAGAGUCAAACCUUCUUUUGACUAGGGAUUCAAACAAAAGGUGACUUGGAACGCACAAAAAUCAAUUCCAAGUGGCGACUCUGAACAAUAAAAUAAUCCUACUCAAGUUUGUCACUUUAAUUGAAAAAAUUCUUUAACCCACAAUACAUCAUACAUAUCUUUAUUGGGGGUAGAAAAGGGGUGUGACAGCUCUGGCGACUCUGCUGAGGACUUAUAAGAAUUCGAGCUUGUACAUUGAUUAAUUUUUGGCUUUUAUUAAUUUUAAAUAUUACUGUGUAUGUGAGCCUAAUGUGCUAAUUGUCGCUCAUUUACUGCUUUGAUAUUGUUUUAAUUAUAUAUAUAAACUAUCUUCUCUCUUACCCCAUCUGAGUCUUCUGAUAAGUAAUAGUGUUGUAUGUGCUGACCAUCUCCACAAAAUUUUCUGUCUGAGAUAAAGCCAGUGUGCAGACCUGCUCCUGGUGAAGGAUUUAGUCACACAUGUUUAGGCGGGGAGAACCACUAGUAAAGCUGGAAUCAUUCUAUGGCUGGCACGCUGACGCUCCUCAUCUUGGGUUGUCCGCCCGAGUAAGCCAUGUCUAGAUACCUUCUCCUGUAAGAUUUAAAAACCUAGAAGAACAAGCCACAUGUCUGGUUAUCCCUAGUAGGAUCAUUUUAUUGCAACAUUCAACUUAGCGAAGGUCGACAUAGGGGUCAGACUCGUAUAGGACAAAUAUCCUUUUUGAGACCACCAUGUUCACUUAUGUGCUACUUGUUACAUCAUUUGGAAGGCUUGUUUGCAUGGUUGACUGGCUUUAAAAAAAAUUAGAGCGGAGUUAUAAAAAAAAUCAUCAUUCCCCCCGGGCUUGGUACAAAUACCCAACUUUUACUAAUAUUUUGGAAGUGGUUCGGUGUAAAGUUGUAAAAAAAAAAUUAUAAUCAAAAUUUUCAAAUUGGUCAACUUUUUUUGUGUAUUGGUUUGAACUAUACGGGUUCUCACAAAUCCAAUGUGAUACGUAGGCAACCUCUAUCGGGUUCGGCCUCUAUUUUUGCAAAAGUUUUUGAAAACUUAGUGUGUCCAUAAUAUUUUUCAAUAAUAAUAAUAAUAAUAAUAAUAAAUAAAUAAAUAAUCGAAAAUUUUGUCGUUUUUGUCAUUUUGUCAUUAUAUCUGAUUAUUUUUUCCAAUACAUCCCUAAUAUCUUUCUCAAAAUUACCAAAUGGUUGUUUUCGAAUAAAUAGCCAUUUUCUCCUUUGCGGUAAUUUUUAUUGUUUUGUCCCUAUGUCUGGUCCUUUUUACCGAGAUAGUCUUAAAUCUUCCACGGAAGUGCUGAAAGGCUAUUUUUGUAAAAUUAACAAUUUCAUCUGUUUUUGUCUGCCUUUUACUUUGUUGCCUUUAUAUUCGACGUUUUUGCCGAGAUAGCCUUAAACCUUUUACGAAAGUACUGAAAGAUUGUUUUCAUAAAAAUAACCAUCAUAUCUAGUUUUGUCUGAUCAUAUUUGUCGAGACAGUCUUCAAACCUCUCUGCAGAAGCGUCGAAGGGUUGUAUUCGUAAAAUAGCUAACAUUCUACCAUUUCCCCCAUGACGAAUCAUUUUAUCGAAAUGGCCUUAAAACCUUCCUCGGAAACGUCCAAGGGCCAUUUUUAAAAAUGGCUAUUUUGCUCGUUUUUCGAACACCUUUUACCAAUUGGUCCUUGUUUUUGGCCGUUUUUUCCGGGACAAUCUUUAAACCUCCACUGGAAGGGUCGAGGAGCUAUUUUCGCAAAAUAUUCAUUUUGUUUAUUUAGUUUCAUAUUUUUGCUUUGUAGCCCUUAUUUUCGGCCAUCUUUGUUGAGUCAACCUUAAAAUUUUUUAUGAAGUAUCAAAUGGCUGUUUUCGUAAAAGAAUAAAUUUUUGUCUGUUUUUACCCGUUUAUCCAUGUGUCCGGAUGUUUUUGCCGAGACAGCCUUAGUACUUUCCUUCAAAGUACUGAAUAGUCGUUUUCAUAAGAAUAACCAUCUUGUCCCUUUUGUCAUCUUUUAUCAUUUGUCUCUCGACCAACCGGGUUUAUCAUGUCUUGUUCCUCGGUGAGAUACGUGGUUAGUCGUUCUUGAGUCUGGUCCGUUUCAUCCAAAUCUGGCAUAUCAAUCAAGUCUGAUAAGUUGGGUCUUAGUUGACUGAUCCUUCAAUACGCGGAAUUCUUCCCUGAGAAGUUCGUUCAUUGUCUUAUCCACAAGUCUGCUUGGUGUCAUUUCUUCGAGUUUAUAUUAGGACUUGACCUCACAUUUUUAUUUAUCCAGGUAAGAUAUGAAUUCAAUAAGUGGAAGACAUGAUAAAAAGCCAAAGGAAGAUGAGCCCUUACAGAUUUGGCUUGUGCAUAAAACACCCCGGUUGCUGAGGCAAUGGUGGAAAAAUAUGGGCGUUUGUGAGCAGGAAAAGAUAAAGGACCAUCUAGGUCACUUUGUGAAUAUUAUGGAGAUCAAACCAUGGCGGGACUUAAUCAAGGCGUUGCUGCAUUUCUGGGAUCUUAAUAACAAUAUGUUCCAUUUUAAUGGUUUCGAAAUGAGUCCCACUUUGGAGGAGUUAGCUGGAUACAUAAAGUUAGGAGAUGAGCUUCUGAAGAAGAGACCCUUGGCCCCAAGGGAUGUCCCUGGCAGUAAGUUCUUUGAGCAGAUGACAAUCAACCAAAAUAAAAUAGCAAAUGUGGAAUGAGGGCACAUUCGAUUAGAUGUCUUGUAUGACAGGUAUGAGUGUCCGGGUGGAUUUUCAAAGCACGGGAAAAAGCUUGAUAAUAAAACUGGAUACAAAGCUUGACAAAGCCAUGAGCGAAGAGCAUUCUUAGUGGCAUUUCUAGGGACGAUGUAUUUCCUGAGGCAUGACAAAAUUUUUGAUAUUUGAUUAUAUGGAAUAGUCACCAAUUUAUUGCAUGGAAAGGAUGUCACUAUCAUUCUUAUGGUAUUGUCGGAUAUUUACCGUGCCCUAACCAAAUGUUAGAAAGGAGAAGAUUUCUUUGAGGGCUGUAACAUCAUACUCUAGAUAUGGUUUUUAGAGCACCUUCUCCUUCAUCCCGUGCGGGUAAAUUUUAGCGUUCGUUGGUGCAACAAUGAGCUCGAAGAUAGGUCUAAAGUUUUGACCGAAGAUAGUAGCUUCCCCAAGGGCGUCGAAGCAUGGAGAGGGUAUUUUCAAAAGUUGACCGCUACUGGAAUCACAUGGAAAUACCACGCGUUCUCACUAAAAGAGGUCAUAUACAGGUCUUACCACCAUUCGUUUUUUAUUUUGAUGGGUCUUCGGGGUUUUCAGCCGUAUGUGCCUAUGAGAGCUCUACGCUAAUUAGGUCGAAAACAAGUAGUGCCCACAGUGGAGCACAUGCAAAGAUUCAUGUGGGAGGUAACAUCGGAGGUCCUGUUCGUGAGGCUUAUGCUCAGCAGGUUUGGGAUGAAUUUAAGGUGCUUGAAUUUCAUACUAUGGUAGAAGAUCAGGAUCGAGGAGAGUUAGACCCCCAUAUUUUGGGUAGUUCUAUGACCAAGAUGCUUUUGGAUCUAGGCAAGAGACAGUUCUAAAGAGCACGACAGAAUGAGAGACUGAAAUCAGAACAAGAGUGGGGCAGGCCAAGGAGGAAAUAUCAAGAGAUUAUGAAUCCAUCAUCCAAGAACUAUGUAGGGAUAUAAGUAUUGCCAACGUGAAUAGGGAUUUGCAGUAUAUUGAGUUUAAAGAGGAGAAAACCAGAUUAAUACAUGAGGUUCAAGCGCUUCAAGCACAACUUCAACAAGCGAGAAUAGAGGCCGCUACUCAGCAACAAACGGCCAUUCCAAAUCAUGAAGAAAUGUAUUACAACCUUAUCAUCCAUGAUCUAAGGGCUCGGGCCAGGGCUACAAAAUCAAGUAAGAACCAGCUAGAGAAUGAGAUAGCAAGGGUCCAGAACCAGCUGAAUCUUGCAUUACAAUGUGAGGCGGAUAUAUCAGACAUAUCCAAUAACCAUGAACGACAGAUCCAGUUCUUAAGUCAGAGCUAGGAGCAUGUUAGAAGGAGGGUCUAUGAAGUGGCUACUUAUACCGCCUGAGGGUGUGUGACUUGUCAAGGUUUGACUCGAGAGCAAUUUGCUAUAGUAGCGCCCAACUUUGCACGCCAUAUUGUCACAGACUUGAAGCGCAUAUACCAUGAUAUGGGAGGUCAACCACAAGAAUAAGCACCUUGACUACAAUGAUGUUAGUGGAUUCUCUUACAGAGAUCGAAGUCUUCUUUUAGUUAGCAGUCCACUUUGAUUGUUCAUUUGUUGUCAUCAGCUCUGUAAGAGUCUUUUGGUGUUUCGAGUCUUGUUAUUUGACAUUUAUUUUUUAAGAUUUUUUUGAAUCGAGUCCGUUCUUGUUUAAAUGUUUGUCUUUUUUAGGUUUUAUCUUUAUGUAAGUUUUGUUUUUUGAGUCUUGUAUAAAGAAAAAGAGAAGAAAAAAUUCGAAAAUCAAUGAAAAUGAUUUUGUUUUAGAAAAAUUCAAAAAUGAACCAAAAAGAAGUUGUUUUUGUAAAUUUAAAAAUAAAACAAAACAAAACAAAUGGUCAUGGUCCUUGAACUACGUAAUGAUCUGAUUCAUGCGGCGACAUGAUAUGUAGGCAACCCCCAAACGGUUCGACCAAAAUAUUUUUCAACGGCUCUAAAAUAAGGCGAGGUGUAAAAAAAGGCGAAAAAGAUGAAUAAAUAAGAGUGUCGAUAAGCAGCAACUUUAUAAGCCGGAAUGAAACAUGAAGCCUUCUAAAAACAUGUUAGAGGCGGUGACAAUGUUAGGAGCGUUGCAUAUUUACGUGUGAUUCGUAUUUGUAAAAUGCUUAACCCUAACACGUUUGUUCCUCUUAUAUAGUAAGCUUAAGAUGGUCAAUUUAUGGUGAAAAAACACAUCAUUACUUUACCAGAUCUAAGGGGAAGGUAGCGAUGGUUAACAAUGAUGAAAUCGAGUUGGCCAAUGACGACCCUCAGAGUCAAUCGGUUGAGCAAGAGAUGGAGGAAGUAAGAAGAUUGAAACAUCAACUGACUGAUGUGUAUCAGGCUUGGGUCUCUGGUCAGCCUCCGCCUUAGGGUCCCUCUGAGGGAACUUCCACCAUACCCCAGGAUAUUCAACCAUCGCUCCCUGCAACGAGCGAUCACAUUCUACCACCAGGGUAUGUGCCAAACUACAGCUUCCAUGCCGACCCUGGUUCCUCUAAUGUGCAGCCUCCUGCCGCACCGGUUAGGAACACACCUCUCGUUGUGUCUGGUGCGCCUGUGUAUACAAUUCCGCCACCACCUCCUGUGACGAGGCCAAAUAAUGAGCCACCAUAUCAUGUUUAUGAUGGACAAUACUACUCCCCAAACAUGGCUUUAAUGUCAAGAACCUGUCCACUGAAUGCAAGUCAAUCAAAAUUGUUGAAGGUCUUGUUUGAUGCUGAUGCCCAAAUUCGUAGCUAAGAUGUUGAACUUGAUAAUUGGAAAGCCACUCCCCACUUUGCCGGGAAGGAGUUUUGGUAACUUAUUUUGUCAUAAUCUCUAUCAUCUGGAUUAUUUCGAGGUUGUGAUCCAGAUGUUGUUUGUUUGUCCUGUCAUCAAGCCUCUUUAUCCUUUAAUUAAUAAAAUAUAACUUUUCGCUUUGUGUCAUUUUAAUCCAUUCUGUAUGGUUCUUUUGCAUAUAUAGUUCUUUUCACGCCAAUUUUAGUGACAUGACAUGCAUGCGGAGUUUUCGGCUAGAUUUUAGAAAGACAGUCUAAUCUUGAAUUGAAUCGAGAAAAAAUAGUCAGAGGAUAAACAAGAGGUUGAAGAACUUUGAUAAUAUGCUGGUGUCAUAUGGAACCAAUAUAGUCAUAUCCGUAGAGGUUAAAGAUGUUUAUCUCAAACCUAUCAUGAAUAUCGGCUUAAGGAUAAUUGAAAGUUUUGAAGCCUAGUUGGACUAAUCGAUGAAAGGCUUUUUGGCCACGACCUGCCAUAAUCUAAUCAUAUCAGGAAAGAUGACCCAAAUCUCCAAAGAAGUUGCAUUCCAGGGAAUUUAAAAUUGAUUAGAUGGUACUGAAGUGCAUCAUUUCACAUUAAGGCAAAGACCAAGAAAAGGUGGCUCCAAUUUGUCAAAGGCCAUUUGAUGCGAACAAGAUAUUGACUACGGAGCUAUACAACUAGCAAAACUAAGAAGGCAGUCAUGUCCAUCAAUGCCGAACCUGAGAAGAGAUAGAAUGUUUGGCAUUCUUGAGGCUGGGAGGCCUUUUUUCUGCUAACCAAAUACUUUAUACCCUUCGAUACCCCUUUGAGCCUGUUUUUUUUUCCUGACCCCCCUCUGUUGGAAUCAAGUAUAGAGUAAAAAAAAGAAUCUAAUAUCCAUGCCACUAGAAAAUAGGAGCUAGGACAUUUUGUUUUAUAAAAAAGAGGAAGAAGAGAAGAAACGGAAAAGAGGAAAGAAAGAAAGAAAAAUGAAAAGAAAAACAACAAAGGAAUCUUUCGUGUUAGUUUGAACUAUGUUUGACUUGAUUCCUUUAAAAGAUACAUAGGCAGCUCUACACUAGGGUUUAGUCUAACCAAAUCAAAAAUAAAAAAUUCCCCAGUAUCUGAAACUAGGGCAGAUUUUUUUUAUGUUAUGUUUUUAUGAAGAGUCGAUUCCAAGAGUUGUAAAUAUACGACAUAUCAUCUUGAGUUUAUUUUGAGCCUUAAUAUGACUCUUUCUUUCUACCCUCUCCAAAACCCUUCCAAAUAAAUACCUUCCAAUUAGUCUUUUAUCAUACCAUCGGAAGCACACAAUAAGCAACAAUUGUCACACGACAUAGAACAAUGUCAAGUUGCUCGCACAAAAAGGCAAAAAAAGAAGAAGAAGAAAAAGAAGAAGAAGAUAAUGAAUGAAAAUGAGAGAGUCUUAUUGGUAAAAACCCUCAUGGGAACUGUAAGACGAUGGUAAGUAGAGAUAAAUAAAUGAGAGAGGAUGGUUGGUGAAAAUAUUUCAGGGCACUGCUCGUCAAAAGUGAGUUGUGAUUUGAUGCAAAUGUUUGACAUAAAGAGGCCAACUUUAAAGACGAAAAAGGAACAACAAGAAGAAAAGGUAGAUUGGUUGGACAGAUUCGGCAGCUCAGUCCAAAAUGCAUGUCAUGAUCAUUAAAGUUGGCUACCACAUUCAAAAAAUCUCUUUCUUUCUUUCUUUUCCCCUAAAGUAGCAUUUUUUAGUUAAAUACUGUUCCUUCUCACUUUUACAUCGCGUCAUUGUGUCCAUUUGCAUUAUUAUUUUGAGUCAAACUUUGUUAAAACAAACAAGAAAUGAUUUCAAAAUCUGUUACUAGCUUUCUAACUGUCUAUCCUAUCACAUCAAAGAGGAGAUACCUAGGGAGCAACAUGCACAAUAAGUUGUUGAAGUUAAACAAGAUCCGAGGGUUCAUGCAAAUAGAAGUUCCAAAGAGAAAACUUUGUUGGUCUAUUUGCUUAGAAAUCCAUCAAAGAAAGAGCCACAAAAUUGGUUACCGUUUCCCGAAAGUGCAAAACAAAUGAUGUGGGGCAUACACGACAUUGACAAAGGCACAAACCCAACCGUGAUUUUCUCUGAUAAGCCGAACAAAGUGUUUCGAAGAAAUUGAAAAGGUCGCUAAGCAAGACUUACUUCAUGGGAAAAGUGGAUCGCACCCCAGACAUAAACUGAUACCGGCCACAAUAUAAUCAAAAUUGAUAAAAAAAAAAUCGCCAAAGGGUGUGUGACAUCCGGGUACGAAAUAGUCGGGGGCAACGAUAGAAAGCCAAGGUCUUCAUAAAUUAAUACAGAUUAUCCGAGCAACUCAGUACCGCACUGAAAGAAUCAAUUCUUCCUCAGAAGGUCACCGCGAAUUUAGACUACUCAGGACCUCAAGGCCACAAACCGACCACCACUUUGAAAACUCACAAAUCUUUCUUUGUUUGAAGCAUGAAACAAAGUAGUGUAGAAAUGAAGUUUUCAGAGGAGGAAUGUCACCAAAGGUAAAUUCUUCAAAGUUUGUGCUUUUUCUUUCUAGAUAUGCCUAUAAUCACAUAAUCGACCACUGCAUUUUCCAGCAUAAGGUACAACAGUCCUUAGUUGAGGUUACAUUUUGACAUAGAGCACACCACUCCCUAGUCUCAUCUUUAGUAUAGGGUACACCAAUCCAUAGCUGAAACCAUAAGGUACAACAAUCUUUAGUGAGAUUCCAUUUUCAUACAAGGUAUCUUAUCCCCUGGUUACUUUAUCUCUAAGUGAUACAAGGCGUCAUCCCUUGGUUACAUUCUCUUAGCGAUAAAGGGUGCCAAUCCCUAGCCAUAUUCUCUCUUAGUAAUACAGGGUGACAACCCCUAGUUACAUUCCUUAUCGCUAAUACAGGGCGUCAACCCUUGAUUAUAUUCCCUCUUAGUGAUACAAGGUGCAAACCCCUGGUUAUAUUCUUUCUUAGUGAUAUAGGGCACCAACCCCUGGUUAUAUUCUUUCUAAUUGAUACAGGGCGCCAACCACUGGUUACAUUCCCUCCAAGUCUUUCAACCUCAGUCGUAGGAUACACACUUUCUAGUUUGAGUUAUUAAAUAGGAAACGAACUUCCUAAUCAGAACUAUCAAUCCUAGGAGACGCAUUUCCUAGUCCAAGCCUUUCCACCUCAAUCGUUGGAGACGCACUUCCUAGUUUGCGUUAUUCCAAUGGGAAACGCACUUCCCAAUCUGAACCAUCAAUCCUAGGAGACGCACUUUCUAGUCCAAGCCCUUCAACCUCAUUCGUAGGAGACACACUUCCUAGUUUGAGUCAUUCUAUUGGGAGACGCACUUCCUAAUCUGAAUCAUCAAUCCUAGGAGACACAUUUCCUAGUCCAAGCCUUUCAACCUCACUCGUAGGAGAUGCAAUUCCUAGUUUGAGUCUUUCCAAUAGGAGACACACUUCCUACUCUAAACCAUCAAUCCUAGGAGACACACUUCCUAGUCUAAGACUUUCAACCUCACUCGUAGGAGACGCACUUCCUAAUUUGAGUCAUUUUAAUAGGAGACUCACUUCCUACUCUGAACCAUCAAUCCUAGGAGAGGCACUUCUUAAAUCCAUAUCUUUAUUCCAAUAGGAGACGCACUUCCUAAUCUGAAUCAUUAAUCCUAGGAGAUGCACUUCCUAGUCCAAGUCUUUCAACCUCAUUCCCAGGAGAUACACUUCCUAGUCCAAGCCCUUCAACCUCACCCGUAGGAGACACACUUCCUAGUUUGAGUUAUUCCAAUAGGAGACGCACUUCCUAAUUUGAACCAUUAAUCCUAGAAGACGCACUUCCUAGUCUAAGUCCUUCAACCUCACUCGUAGAAGACGCACUUCCUAGUUUGAGUUAUUCCAAUAGGAGACUCACUACCUAAUCUGAACUAUCAAUCUUAGGAGAUGCACUUUCUAGUCCAAGUCUUUCAAUCUUAUUCCUAGGAGAUACACUUCCUAGUUUGAGUCAUUCUAAUAGGAGACACACUUACUAAUCUAAACCUUUAUUCCUAAGAGAAGCACCUCCUAGUCCAAGUCCCUUAACCUCACUCCUAGGCGACACACUUCCUAGCUUGAGUCAACUCUAUUCAUCCUAUUAGGAGACACACUUCCUAAUAUGAAUCAUUAAUCCUAGGAGACGCAAUUUUUAGUUCGAGUCCUUUAACCUCGUAGUCAUUCCAAUGCUACCCAUGGGAAAUGCACCUCCUAGUUUAAGUUUAUCAAUUCUACUCUUAAGAGAAGCACAUUCGAUUCAGAGUCUUCAGUAUCUUUUUUUGCAUCUUUCAAAUAAAAUAAAGCUGAUUUGCAGUGUUACCCAAAACUCACAAAAUUUUCUCAGUACCAAGAUAGGGCAGAAAAUUUUGUUUGUUUUGUUUGACUUUGAUGGCUUUGCAGGCCCCGCCAUAGAGCACAUGUUGUGAUGAUCAAAGCUUGUAGUUUUAGUUAUCAUUAGAAGAAAAAGGUCUUUUGAUCACAAGAUAGUUGGAGUUAACUUUGACAAUCUGUUAGUAACCCAGCUUCAGAAGAUUUAUCAUCUCAAUUUCGGAUCAGGAAAGCAAGCAAUUCAGAUUGAGUCAUAAUCUUUUCUUCAAAGAGUAUCAAGAUCCAAACUAAGGUCAACAAAAACGUGCAAGUCAAGAAUCAAGAUUUGACUCUAGAAGACACAGAUAAGAAUUUUGUAACUUUUUAGUUUGUAGUAAUAUGUAGUUCUCUUCUCUUUUUCUUUUAAUGUAAGCAACAAGUAAUUGUAACAACAAUAAUAACAACAGUAGAAGUCUUAACUCUAGUGUCGGUAGUCUCAGCUACUAAAAUUUUUCCAGAACUAUACUGACCUGAUUCCUUUAUAGCUAAGGAUAUGUAGGCAACCUCGGAAUCAAGGUUCGAUCACCUUUUUCACAAAAAAUGCUUUCAUUGUAGUGAUGUACGAGCAAAAAUUAGUCAUAGCAUUCACUUUUCUUUGCACAAAAACUCUUCAUGUUCUCGAGCAAAGAGAGGCAGCUGUGAAUAACUAAUUUUUGCUCGCUUCAAAUUCUCCUACAAAUAUUAAUUUUUGGAUGAUUUUUAGUUAUUUGUGCAUUUUUAUUUGCCUUCCUUUAUUAAAUAUAUAAAAAUAUUUUUUACCUUUUAUUUGUAUAUUUUAGUUUGCAUCUUUAAAUUAUAUAUACCAAAAAGAUUUUCUUUCUACUUGUAUAUUUUCUUUAGGACUAAAUAAGAUAAUUAGGGGUUAAGGGAUUGGGCUACUGUAUUUUAAUUGAAAUUGAGCCAAAAUUGGCCCAAAAUCAGAAGCCCAUAGAGCCACAAAUUCGGUCCAAAUGGGGCUGCCAGAGGAGGGUCCGAACGACAUAGUUUUAUAUCGAAACUACGUCAUUUUGGUUAAAUAUUCAAGAUCAAAUCCUGGCCACUUAUUUUGUGCAAAAUCAAUCUCAUAUGACGUAUAUAAAGCUCUAAUAAUCAGAAUUUUUGGCCUCAUUUUCACGUAACACAAACCCUAGCCCCCUCUCUUCUCUCCCACUCCUCCUCUGCCGCUGCCCCCGCCUUCUCCAUGGCGGCACCACCACCUGCCGCCGUCCAAACACUCCCAAAACUUCACCCAACCAUCCCUCUCUUCACCUUUUACCUGAAUCCAAACCCCAUAUCUCUCAAAUCCCUCUCAAUCCUCUCAAGUCUACUCCAAAACCGAACUCUAGCCGCCGCCUAUUUUCUCGAAUUAGACGAACUCUGGCCAUCCCUACACUUUAAUUCUUUCAUCACCGGAUAGAUCUCUUAAAGAUCUAUCAAUCCCCCUUUGGUUUCACGGCCGAACUCCGACGACCAAAAUUCCGGCGACCAUCACUUCCAUACCACCAUUACUACUUGAAAUUGCCUUCUUUUUGAGUCAUUAAGCUUGAGACAUUGUGCGCUCUUCAAUAAGUUGGCUAUUUUUUGUUAUAUCGAUUGGAGAUGGCACAACAUCCCAAGUUUGGUGGCUGCCCGUUUGUUAUUCCGGCAAGCCGAUUGAUUCUCCAAGACUCGUGUAUUCAGUAAACCCUGUCUCCUUUUUUCUUUUUCUGAUUUUUCGAUUUUGUAACUUGUAUCAGGUUUAAGGCUUAAUUUUUUAUUCAUGUUUCUGUUAGUUAUGUAUAAAUGAAUGAUGAUCAUAUAAGUUUUGAAUUACCUAUUACUUCAUAACUUUGAAUCAUAUUUUAGCUCAGGUUUUGUUAAAUUCCGUUUUCACAAUAAUUGUGAUUGUAGUCGUUCACUAUUUUUAUACUUGAACCAGCUUAUAUCAAUCUAGUUUGUUUGAGUGUUGCUUUAUCAAUCCAUAGUUUGUUGAGUUUGAAGUUUUGAGUUUUGAAUUCAGUUAUUUGUUGAUAAAGUCAGGGGUACUUGAGUGUAGGGCCCAUGUUUGGUUGCUUUUAGUGUUUUAAUAGCUAUUUUGAGUACACUGUUCCAAACACUACACACAGUUGGUAAAGCAAUUGUUCUUUAGACAGAUUUUUGACCAAAAAUCUGUCCAUUGAACUGUUGGGACAGAUUUUUGGUGGAAAAUCUAUCCUUGAAUAUAGGUUGUCAAUAAUAAUUGAAUGCCACCCUCUCCUAUGAAAGGAGAGGUCUUUCUUUCAAUUAAGUUGCAGAUUUUUCAGACACUCUUAACACACUUAGACAUCACCUUCUACACUCUAAAAAGGCACACAAACUUCAGAAGAGAUCACCUGAACAUACAUAAUAGUAAGCUGAAAAUUCUGAACUUCGUGAGUGCUUCCUAGAGUGUAAAACUUGUAAGAAAAUAAAGGAAUCCUAGGUGAUUGCUGGGGAAGUAGCUACUGGUUUCAAAUACUUUUUUGUUGGAUUUUUCUGGGUUGUUUCUCGGGUCAUAAGUUGUUGAUUUUGCUACUGUUGCGUUGCUAUUUGUUGCUGAAAUUUAGUUCCUCCCUUGCUGACAUUUUCUUUCUGCUAUCCAGGUAAUUCUCUUAAAGUGCUACAGUAAUUUUGAGUCAAGAAUGAAUGGAGACGAACCAAUUUGAGUUCUCUUCAGUUUGUUCUAAGCUUUUAAAGCAUUCUGUUUUUUUGUAAGGUUUUGUGUGUGAGCAUAUAUAAUAAAUAGUUGCUUUGUUAUUGUGACUCACUGUCACCUUUGUUUUUUUUUUUUUUUUGUUUGUUUUUUGUAAAAAAUCGCCAACAAAACAGCAAUGUACUGAUAUAGGUUCAAAUGUUUAAGUUUCUGUCUCAAUUUUUAAUAUCAUAAAUUUAGUUAAAUGUAUAAGGUAUUUCCAUGAAAACAACAUGUUAACUUGCCUUUUCUUUCCUUGGUUUUAAACAUGGAGUAAAUAUUAUAGGUAUCAAUUAGUUUUUCUUUGUGGUUACAUGACAAAUGAAAUCUGUGGUGUUGUUAUGUAUUUUAUUUCUUUGUCUCAGCCCGUAGUUGAGCUUAAAUUAGGUGCUCUGCUUUAUUGGUUUUGAAAAGGUUUCUAUUUUCAUGUAGAGCAGUUUUGAUAAUGAAUUGGCAUAUAGAUUCAUGUUACUCAUUUCAAGAGAAUAGCAAUCCAUGGUCAUACAUCUAGCAGAUAAUAGUAUUUUUUUUGGGUUGAUGUUUUAAAUUAAUUGAAAUAUUGUUCCAUUAAAAUAAAAUAAAAUUGAAUCUUGUAUUUGGGUCUCUAUUUCAACGUUAUUUAGCUAGCCAAAGUUAAGCUUCAGAGAUUAAAAUUUGUUAUUAUGAUGACGGUUCCCUGUUCUUCAAGUGCAAUUCUUAAGAGUAGAGUAAACUUUCCUAUUUAAGUAAGUUUUCGUAUUUAAGUAAUUUUUCUUUCAUUUCCUUAUGGUUUAAUCAUUGGCAUUAAAUGACGUUCUUGAACAAAAAUUCAUUUGAUUUGGUUGAUUUUUUUAAAUAAUAUCAAAGCUUCAAAAGGCGAUCGUUUCAUGGCAGUAAGUCAAUUAGUCUGGGUUUAAUAAUUUAGUAGAAAUAAAGGUGAUAAAUAAAGUCCAAUAUCAAUCAUAUUCGUAUGUUGUCCUACCACCAUUAACUUAUAAAGAGGCAUUUUCUUUUCAUAAUACAGAUAAACAAUUAUUUUUCCGUAAUCUAACCCCUAUAGUAAUUUGUCUUAACUAAGGUAAAUAAUUUCGUUUUAACUGAUGUCGGGAAGACUCGCUUCAGAAUAAAAAUAUAAAUAAAUGGCAAGGUCGUGAGGACAUCUUGUUCCAAUUCUUUCAAGUAAAUAAAACUUUUGUUAUUUAAUUAACUUCGAGUAGACUCCAAUUUUGGAUACGACGCACGAACUAAGGUUUGGGAUACUCAUCUUGGUUAGUGUAAGCUAGGGUCGGGGAUACUUGUCUUAGUUUGAGAUUAAUAAAGUCAUCAACAAUAAAAGUGGACAUAUGCAAACAUGAAAAUCAAAUAAAGCACAAUUUAUCCAAAAUUAAUUCAAGCCAAUUUUAGUCAAUAAAAGUGACCGUGCUAGAACUACGGGAUUCGGAGAAUGCUUUACACCUUCUUCCCGGUCAACAGAAUUCAUUACCCGGAUUUUGUUUUCGCAGACCAAUAAUAAUAGAGUCAAACCUUCCUUUGACUAGGGAUUCAAAAUAAAAAGUGACUUGGAACACCCAAAAAUUAAUUCCAAGUGGCGUCUCUGAACAAUAAAAUAAUCCCUACUCAAAUUUGUCACUUUAAUUGAAAAAAAUCUUUAACCCACAAUUCAUCGUACAUAUCUUUAUUGGGGGGUAGAAAUGGGGUGUGACAAACAUGUUACAAGUUUAUAGAAUUUUCUUACUUGCCAAUUUGUAAAUAAGCUAAAACAAUGACACAUGACUCGACUUUAGUGAUAUACGAUGUUUUGGUAUAAAUUGCACGGGGCGCCCUAUUUGGUCGCCCCCAUUUAACCUAUACCUAUUUUUUAAAAAGUUUUAACUUGUACCCACUUUUAAAACAAUUUCAGCCCCCUUUCUCCCCCUCUUUCUCCAAUACUCGCACCAUUAUAGAAAACCAGCUUUGCCAUGGGAAACAAAGGCUUCUCCAAUACUCGUACCAUUAUAGAAAAAAUAAACACUGCUGUCUCUGUACUUGUAAGGUCCAAAAUUGGUGUUCUUGACACCAAAUUCAGCAUUUAUUGUAAUGUUGAAUGAAGAGUUUUCUGCAUUUUUAGACAACACAUCAAAGGUAGCGGACUGGACGUGAAACUUGGGAGUUCUGACUUUCAUUAUGUACAAUGAAGAGAGGAGAGUGAUUGCAAUUUGAAACAGAGUAGAGAGUGCAACAAAAAUUAAGAAUUUCUUGCGUUUCUUUUUGCUCAGCUCUUUGGAUUGUAUGGAGUUGGCUGAUUCUUCAGCUUGCUUUGCAUGUCCGUUAAUCUGAAGUUGAUGUUCCCCUUUCUACUGCCAUUUAGUUUCAAGUCAAAUUUUAUUUCAAAAAUUUCAGCUUAUGUAGUGCUGAAGUUUUUACAAAUGAACUAAAUAACUUCAGCAUCUUCUGCUGAAGUUUUUGAAAAAGCUUAUCCAGAACAAAAAAACUUUAGCGUUUUUAGUGUUGAAGUUUUUACAAAUGAACUAAGUAACUUCAGCAUCACAAAACUCAGCUACUAGAAUGCUUAAGCUCAGCAAAUAGAAAAUAAAACUUCUUUACUAGAAUGCUUAAGUUCAACAAUUAUAACAAAAACAAGUUAAUCAAAUAGAGAACAAAACUUCAGUACUAGAAUGCUUAAGUUCAGCAAAUAGAGAACAAAACUUCAGCACUAGAAUGCUUAAGUUCAGCAAUUACAAACAAAAACUUCAACACACUUGGUCUACUUCAGACCCGGCUACUAAAAUGCUGAAGUUUUGCGUGAUUACCUUUGCUACUUCAGCCCCGUAUGCUGAAGUACCGCGAAAAAGUGAGUAUGAUUGCAAUUUUUUUUGUAAAGCGGGCACAAGUUAAAACAUGACCCAAAAAAUAGGUAUAGAUGCAAAUCCUCUGAUGUUUUGUCUAACACAAAAGGAAAAUUAAAGGUGACAAAGGGUCGGGGCCGUUCCGCGCCGAUCUUGGCAAAAAACAACAUGGCCGGUCUUCGUACCGAAAUGAUUAUCGGGCUGCAUAUAUCGAUCCUAACCGGUCCCAAUCACAGCCAGUUAAAAUAUGGAUCAAAAUGACACCAAACUAAAAAUACCGGGCCUAUAUAUAUACAAGUCUAUUAUAUUUACAAAAAUAUUUCGCUAUAAGUAUUUUGUUUUAAUAUUUUAUAAUUUCUUACUUAGCUUUUUAUAAUUCAUUUAGUUUAAGAUCAUAAAAAUAGUACGAGUUGCUGACUUUAAAAAACUAGUUGUUGCAAACUUUUAAAAUAUUAGUAGUUGGUAAAUUUAGAAAAUAGUCGUUGCCAACAUAAAUUAACUUUUUUUAAAUAAAAAAAUUCACGUGGGGCCCAUAUCCCGUCUCGUCCCUUCCCCUCCCGUUAGUUAAUAGAACAGGACGGGCCUAACGAGUUGUUCCAUUUACACCAUUGGACAACCAUAGUUAGGCUCAACAUAUUCUCAAUUUCACAUAUGAGCUUAGCAAUACGAAAAACUAAGUAUAUGGAUUAUUAUAUUUAAUAUUCUGCACAAGCAUAACAAGUACAUUUUGAUAUGAAUGCGAAAUAGCUAGGGCUUUUUACAGAAUCUAUACUUCACAUUGAUGACUUAGAAGUUUAUUAUCUCUUCGAACAAAGAGUUAAAUCUGAUUUCAAGGUAAAAUUUGACUCGCUACUUGUUUUUGGAAGCUGUUAGAGUUAGCAAAAUAUUUAGCGACUAUUAUUCAGUAUUUGUAUAUGGUAAAAAUCGGUGGUCCAAUUUUAUGAUCAUUAAGGCGCCUCGUAAAGAUUGCCCCCAGAAGGCUCGAAGCUCAGCCUGGGGUUUCAACCCCGAGGUUCUCAAUGAUCGACCUCGAGGCAGUGUAACUUAGUGGCUACAGUGGAUCGAUGUGAGGUUCCCAAGGCACGUGACUAGAGCUGACAAAGUCUAUUUGGCUAGUUCAAGCCCAUACCGUGACAUUAAAUGGCUGUACCAGCUAUCUAUCUUGGUAAUAAAUGCAUUUGUACUAUUUUGGGAUUCCCCCUUCAUAUAUAAAUUGGACCCUUGUCAUUUUGUAAGAAUAGAUACUACACACCACAUUCAAUACAAGAACAUUCUCUUUGUUCUCUAACUUGGACUCACUGUCUUGAUACUUACAUUUAUUGCUUAUAUUCAUUGUGUUCUAUUUAUUGUUCUUCAUUUUAUUGCUCAUUAUUGGUCAUAAAGAGCCGCAAUCAAAUUUGUCAUAAUUGUUAGUCCCCCAUCAACUGCCCUUAGCCAGGCAUCCGACUCGAUCUCGAAGCCCCGUAUAUGCAAGUUUGCGGCCCCGAUUCCCAACCAUUCAGUUUGAUUAUUACACUAUCUACAAGUUAUUAUAUUAUUUUCUAAUCCUUCACUUAGCAUCUAUUCCCUAACAACUAGCAUAAAAUAGAUCACAUAUUUUUAGAACCACAAAAUCAAAUCUAAUUAUUAUCAUUUUCAAAGUAAACAGUUUGGCGCCCACCGUGGGUCUAAAAAUAAUAGUGAUUAUUUUCUUGAUGGUUUACUACAUAACACGAGUUAUCUUUCACGUUUUUCCUUGUCCAAGAAUCUUUGAUUUCAGGUCAAAAAUGUCUAACUCAGUGAAUGCGUAUGAAAACAACGGUCUUGAGGACGAUGGAGAAAAUGGUGUAGCUGUUCCAGGUAUUGGCGAACCAUCACUGAACCCUGAAGGUGUGCCAGAGCAAAUCUCUGCGGAUGUGGUCUCACGUGAUGCCCAACACAUCGAUAUAAGCUCCCACACUAACAGGAGCAUACACCAAAGAGACCAACAAGAAGCUCAGAAAAUCCUAGCUAGGGAAUAAGGAGAGGUUAGCCUUCACGUUAUUUUUGAAAUGUUACAGGCACAAUAGCUGGCAAUUGCUCAGCUAGAAAGCCACCAGAAAACUCCCAGUACGGUAGCAUCGGAAACGGCUCCCCAAGCCGAGCAGGCACUAGAAAUAUCAAACAACAACGAGUCGGCAACCGACCCCGCCAUCAUAAAGAUGUUCGAGGACCUCACAAAGAGGAUCGAGUGAGGCGAGAAGAAGAUAGAAGCCAAUGACAAGAAGGUGGAAACCUACAAUUCUAGGGUCGAUCAAAUUCCAGGCGCACCCCCAAUCUUGAAGGGUGUAGAUUCAAAGAAGUUCGCACAAAAAUCGUUCCCACAGGAAGCGGCCCCAAAACCCAUUCCAAAGAAGUUCAGAAUGCCCGACCUUCCGAAGUACAAUGGAACCUCGGACCCUAACGAGCACGUCACUGCUUACACUUGUGCAGUAAAGGGCAAAGACCUGAAGGACGACGAGAUCAAAUCCUUCCUACUAAAAACGUUCAGAGAGAUGCUUUCAAAGGGGCUAUGAUGUGGUAUCACAACCUGGCCCCAAACUUGAUAGAUUCAUUUGCCAUGUUGGCAGAUUCCUUCAUAAAGGCACAUGCUGGUGCCAUCAAGGUAGCUACAAGGAAAUCCGACGUUUUCAAAAUCAAGCAAAGGGAGAACGAAAUGUUGUGAGAGUUUGUAUAUCGGUUUCAAAUGGAAUGAAUGGAACUACCACUAGUCUCCGAUGACUGGGCAGUGCGGGCCUUCACUCAAGGUUUGAAUGAAUGAAGCUCGGUAGCUUCGAAGCAGCUGAAGCAGAACUUAGUCGAAUAUCCCGCCGUGACUUGGUCAUAUGUCCACAACCGAUACCAAUUAAAGAUCAGGGUCAAAGACGACCAACUAGGAGUCCCCUCGGGAUCGGUAUAUCCUAGAAGGCUUCCGGCAAAGGAGCCAAAACCAAACAAAGAAAGAUACCAACCAUACACUGAGGAUAGAAGGAAUGCCCCGAGGCACAACAUACCCUACAAUGAUCGAAGGAUGGAUCGAGGCCAGAAUCCUCGGGGACUUGUUAGCAGAGCUGGAUUCGAUAGGCCCACAGGGCCGACGGAGGCACCUCGCUUGUCGGAAUACAACUUCAACGUCGACAUUUUGGACAUCGUAUUUGCCAUCAGUAAAAUCAGAAACGCCAGGUGACCAAGGCAUGUACAGUCAGAUCCUUCGCAAAUGAACCACAACUUGGCAUGUGAAUUUCACGGCACACACGGUCAUAGGACCGAGGACUGCCGACAACGCCGGGAAGAAGUAGCCCGAUUACUCAGCAAAGGUCACCUCCGAGAAUUCCUUAGCGACCGAGCCAAAAAUCAAUUCUGGGAAAGAGAGACGACCAAGAAGAAUAAAACAGAUGAGCCACAACAUGUCAUCCACAUGAUCUUAGGAGGCAUCGACAAGAACUCAUGGUCAGGAGAACAAAAAUAUCCAUCACCAGGGAAAAGCGAACUCAAGGUUACAUACCUAAGGAUGCUCUCACAUUCAGCGACGAGGAUAUCGAGACCUUGUCCCAUCCUUACAACGGUGCACUGGUAAUCUCUUUUCUUGUAAAUAAAUUUCAAAUUAAAUGUGUACUUGUGGAUCCAGGUAGCUCGGCCAAUAUUAUCAGGUCGAGGGUAGUAUAACGGCUCGGACUUCUUGACUAAAUUGUUCCCACCUCUUGAGGCCUCAACGGGUUCAACAUGGCGAGCGAAACAACGAAAGUGGAAAUCACCCUCCCGCUCAAUGUGGCCGACACUAUCCAAAAUGCCAAAUUCCAUGUCAUCGAAGGAGACAUGAGGUACAACGCAUUGCUUGGAAGGUCGUGGAUACACUGCAUGAGAGCAGUACCAUCCACCCUCCAUUAAAUGAUGAAAUUUACGACAACGGAUGGGAUAAAAACCGUUUACGGGGAACAACAUGCAGCAAAAGAGAUGUUUGCGGUGCACGAUGUGGCACCGGUGCCAAUACCCCCACCGUCAAAGGAGCUAAAGGAUAAGCAAACAAUAAAAUAGAAAUAACAAGCUAUAUUCUCGGCUACACCCGACCAAACAAAGCAAAGGACCAUAUCGCGUCCUCAGAACAAACGAUUAAAACAUAUCGAGGCCCGAAGCGCCAUCAUCACUAAGGUAUGGUCAUCUCUUCUUUUUAGUAGUUACAUUUUAUACUAACCCGAGUGUAGGUAUCCGAUUGAAAUGGCCUAAGCGCUUUCCAAACCGAAGGCCUUAGGUUCCAAAAGCGUACGUUGCACUCUUUUCCUUCGACCGGGUUUUUAUCCCAAGAAGGGUUUUACCGGCAAGGUUUUUAACGAGGCAACAUCCAUAUGCUACCUAAGGAAGACUCAACAAGUAUUCAAGGCUUAUCUUCAAUCAACCUCGAAUACUGGGGGCAUCCUCCCAGAAGGUCACCUCCUCGGAGAAGCCAAAAUGUGUUAAAUGGGGUCUCGAUAGGAAAAUGAUGUACCGGGCCAAACGGUCGAAUGAACCGUGUUCGUAUAGAAUAACCGAACCCUUGACAACAAAAACAUGUAUACUUGUACGAAGUAAUCAAAGAAUACUUUCCCCUCCAUCAAAGCAUUUCGAAGGAGUUCGGUAUUUUUAAAAAAAUGGCUCCAGAGCCAAAAACGUCCCGAACAUUCGGGGACUGAUGUCAAAAAAUCGAAGUCGCAUGACCUCCGAGUCGGAAUCUUUGAACUUGUAAGCAUUUAAUGAGGCAACGUCAAGGUUACAAAAAUGGCUAUAGAAGCCAAGAACGCCCUGAACACUCGGGGACUGGCGUCAAAAACUCGAAACCGUAUGACCCCCGGGUCGGAAGCUUCAAACUUGUAAGCCCUUAAUGAGACAACGUCAAGUCUACAAAAUAGCUCCAGGGCCAACAAAACUUUCAAUUUCCCGGGGACUGCCGAGGCCAUAAGACCCCAUAUGGGCAACCUCAAUCCCGUAAGACCUUUAUAAGGCAACACCAAAACUGUAAGACCUCAAGCAAGGCAUGAACCAUACUUGUACCAGGUAACCAAAACUAUAAGACCUCAAAGACAUGUAAAAAUUAUAAGACGUUACAAAAAGGCAUUAUCCCGAACUUAAAGUUAAGGAUAUAUAUAUUCGAACUUGUAAGACCCCUAAAAAGGCAUACCCUCGAUGUAGACGCCGAAACUACUUCACUCGGGGACUGAAAGGCUCCGGCCAAACACAAUGACUACUAUCACAAGACUGUACUAGCCAAACUAACGUGACUCGGGGAUGCCUGACUGUCAUUGUAAAAUCACAGGCCUUCAAUUACUUUGAAAGUACUUCGAAAAGAACAAGUUAAAUAGGCUACUCUCGACAUAGGCAAAAGAGCUUCGACCAUGUCAGCUCUGAACUAUAGGCUUCGAAACACUCAGCCACCGAGCAAAACCUCCUGAGGUGCUCGUCACCACAUAGCAACUCACAAUCAAGGUUUUUAUCGAACCGUCAAAGAGUCAUGCAAACACAAUUUCAAAAAGUCCUUCACGAGGGAAAAAUAAAGCCUAUACUAGAGGUUGUUGAUACCCAAUUUUUUCCUAUAUAUUUCUAAUAUGAAAAAUACUUUCAAAAUAGCAUAUGUAUGCAUAUAUAAGUAUGUCGAAAUAUUUUAUUAUUUUUUCUUAAUUUUUAAAAAUUUUUAAAAUCAAUUUAUUGCCCUAUUUUAUCCAUAAAAAACCCAAUAAUUAUUCCCAAAAUUAUUAUUUUUGGUGAUUCAUUUAUUGGACUCUCAUAUUUAUACUAAAAUAUAGCUAAUUUGAUUUUUGCAUAUUUUUAUAAAUUUAUUUAGUAUUUUUAAAGCUAAAUUGCAUAUAAUUGCAAUAUUAGCCUCUUUUAGAUUUAAUUACGUUUAUGUCUAUAAAAAUCAGGUCCAAUAUUUUUAAUUUGAUAUUAUGUACUAUUAAUUAUUUAAGUACCUUUAAUUUAUUUUCAGAAAUUAUUUUAUUAUUUUUUAUAAAUCAAAUAGGGAAAAGUGGCUAUUUAAAUGCUAGCCUCAUUUUGUUUCAAUUAUGGCCUGAAUUGAACCCCAAUUUGGAGCCCAAUUACUAGGACCCAAUCUCUAUCUGAACUGACCAAUGACCACUUUUAAACGACCCACCCGGAUUCCCAUUUAAUCCCAACCGUUGAUCGCUUAAAUCAACGACUCACAUUAAACCUUUCCUUUUUUAAUUCCCAACUACCCCUAACCCUAAUCACUUUCCAUCUGCAGCCGCCUUUUAAUUCCCCCUUCUCUCCUAAUUCUCUCUCAAUCUCCCUCUCAAACCCUAGUCACCACCUUCAACCACCACCCUAAAACCGCCUGAAUCAAUGGCUUCCAAAGCCAUUAAAGGCCUGUAUCUACCUCCUAUGACUUCUACCUGCCUGAUUAUCAUGUUUUCAAGGCCGGACUUUGAAGAAGUUUUGGUCCAGACCUGGGCUGAUUUCAGUACUAUGGCUGUCUCCGACCUUGCUCCGGCCAGCCAUGGCUAUUCAAGCCUGAUCUUGACUUCUCUUGCUUAGAUCAAUGACUUUCCAAGCCUUUCUCACUAUCUGGGUUCUUCUGAAACCCUAAAACUUCGAGGUUCUUCCGAUUCUUUUAGAUCCAUUGUAGAUAUAUGUUUACUCUAAACUUUUAAAUAUUUUCUCAAAGUUUCUUUCAAAAUUUUACCUUCAGAACCUUUAUCUUUUCCGAUUUAGGGUUUGGUUAAGUUAUUCAGAAGCUUCUCUGAUCUUUAGCAUGUUCUAUUGUGUUUCUUUAUGUUGUUCUUCUACUGGAGUGUGCAUGAUUAAAAGUCUUAGUUCUUUCUUGAGUUUUUUGAUUUUAUUUUGUUGAUGUUUUUGCCUGAUUUACUUGUUUUUCAUCUCUAUACUUGAGUGAUGGUGAAAACCCUAAAAUUUGGAGUUCAUUCAAGUCCUGAGACUAUUUGCUAUGUGAUUUACUCGUCAUACUCUGAAUACGAUGGGUUUCAAAACCCUGAUUCCUUUGAACCUAUUCAAGUUUCUGAAGUUGCUUCACCUGUUGCUCGACUGAAUUUCAAAAUCUUUGUUUCUUUAUAUGAUUGUGACUUCCUGCUAAACUCUAUAAGGUCUUUUACUUGACCCCCUUUGCAUGCUAUUUGAUACUUUCUCUUUUCUCUAUUACUGAGUUACUAAGAUUGACCUAUGGGACUACUAUGUUCCUAUAGUCCACUACUUACUGACUUUGUGACUGCAUGACGCUUCUCUUUGUCUUAAAUUCAGCCUUGCAUGCCUAAUACUUGUGUACUCUUUUAUAGGUUGAAUUUUCCUAUGAAGUGACCUUCAAUUUUGGGAUUGAUUUUAGACCUCCUUGUGUAAUUUUGAUUGCAUUCAUGUAUUAAGUGAUUGACUCUUUACUUGUUUCGCCUUACUGAUUUUCCUGUUUCUUAGGUUGAUUUGAAAACUUUCCUUAGACUUUCCAUUCUCCUGUUUCUGACUUGGUUUAUUUGUUUGUUCAUGGGAACCCCUGUUAUUCUCCCCAAAUCCGUAAUUUCAAAUUCCUGACUCCUUGAUUUACUAUUUGCCUCUAUAUUCUGCAACUUUACUCUGUUUUCUUACCUUAUUUGGUUAACCGAGUAUUUCAAAGAUUUUUCCCUUAAUUAAACCCCUAUAUAUUUACCCCUAAUUGCCUACUUUGCAUAAGAUGCUUACUUGAUUUCUUUCCUUAAAGGUUUUUUGUCCAUUACCGUUUAAGUUUAAACUUCUUAAUUAAAGGAAGCUCUUAUACUGAUUGAUUUUAAUUGGUACACAAUUUCAUAAUUAUUUUCUUGCCUUAUUUUUCUACCUAUUUUCACACUAUAAAUAUCUUGUUCUUUCAUUAACACACACACGAACACACUUAGUUCUAAAAUCUCUUACACUAAAAACAUUCUCUCCUGCUUUACUACUACUGUGACCCAUUUAGCUGGCUGAAAGCCAAAGCUAUUUUCAAAGUCUUACUACCUGCUUUUACUGUAUUUUACUUCUUUGUACUGGUAUAUUUCGAUUAAAAUUCCAGCAUCACAACAAUGUGUUUACUUAAUACUUUUACCUUCUCAUUUGCCUACUGCUUCUGUUCAGUCCAGUACUUAUUUUAGCAUGCUGUAAUUUUCUUCUACCUGUUUUGAAUCUAUUAUGUAUCCUAAACCCCUACCCCAAUGUAUUUGAUACUGAUGGUUUGUUUGAGGCAUGACAGUAUUAAGUAUUGCUGUCUAUGACUCAAACAUGAUUCCCUCGGGAUCAUAGCCUCUAUGCUACCAUUAUAUGGUUGUGUAUUCUGGUUGAUUUUGUAAGCAUAACAACACUCCCUAUUGCUGUGCAUGCCCUGAAUUAAUAAAGCCUAAGUGUAUAGGCCUUUUGCAAUCCCCAAUCCCUGAACCCCUUUGUGUGAAGUCCUUAAUUCUGUAACUGUUUCCCAGCACCUCUUUCCCUCUUCUUUACUCUGUUUCUUUACAUGCACUCUCUCUUAGACUUAAGAUCUGCCCCCUCUUGUGAGCCUUUCCUUGGGACCCAUGAGCUCCCUCUGAACUUGGACACUUCAGGGCUGACACUUCCACACUGCACUGGUCCCUAUUCUGGUAAUACAAUUUGGGUGUGAUCACUGUCCGGAGUCCCAUUGAGGCUCUUAGGGAACUCUAACACACUUAAAUUGGAGAAAGGCUUUGGAUCACUGAUCUUUGAGUUGGUUUAUCUCGUAACUCAAAGAGGAAGUCGAGAACCAGGCCUCCUCUGGUUGUAAUUUCUUUGUAUUUUUUCUAUUCUGAUGUAAUUCGCUAUUCUGGUUUGUAAUUCGUUGUAAUAAACAUUUGGGGCUAGCUAGUGAAAAGGGUUGGGUAGCUAUGCAUGCAAGGGUAGAAGUCAUGCUUAUAGGAAUGCUUUAAUUUUUGCGUAUUCAGUCACAUAUAGAAAUCAUGCCUAUAGGGUUGUUCUAAUUCUGCACAUUCAACUCCAUAUAGAAACCAUGCUUAUUGGACUAUUUAAUCCUGUAUACUCAACCACAUUUAGAUGCCAUGCCUAUAAGGUUUAAAACAAGCUUCUGCAUUUAGAUACCAUGUCUAUAAGGCUUAAACGAGUCAUGCAUUAUGUCUGAAAUCAGUCACGCAUAGAAAUCAUGCCUAUAUGGUUUCUCGAGUAAUUCUGAUCCGUUCUCAUUUACAACCGACGUUAGAUAUAAAAUCAGUAAUAGUAGAACCUGUAAUAAAUUUGUUUAAAUUCUGCAUCUUUUUGACAAUCUAAGCCCCUCGCUUAAUAAAGUUUAGCAAGCAUGCCUAUAGGGGUCAAACAAUUCAUUUUGAGUUUUACUGUCUUAUCCCAUUCUAAAUUUGGUAGAUAUCAUGCCUAUAGGACCCGUUUAACACUUAGGAAAGCCUUAGAGUAAUAACUAUAAACUGAACCUGCUCUUGUUAAUCAUUACGACCAACAGACAGGCAUGAUUCGGGCUUCUUAUCUGACUUAUGUAAUAAACUAAAACUGCUUCAACAAUCCCCCUUCCCUCGUCUUUAAUACCUUGAAAUCAGACCUAAACAGUAUGUGCAAGUCAUGCUAAUUAUGUGCUUUCUUUGUUUAAGGAGGUAUAUAUGAGCCUUGUUUGUGUAUAUGAUUUCCCCUUGAUAUGCAAUAUGUGUUUUGUAUGUCACCUUAGAAUUUUUUUUACCUUUGAAACUCCAAAUAAGCCUAGCAUCCCCCUCUUUUAGGAUUAGUAGUCCUAGGUGCCUCUGGGACUGAUAGGAAUGUGACGGGUAAUAGCAUGCAAUAAGUAAUCGAGACCAAUCCGCGCUUUAAUACCUUAACGGGGUGGGAAAGGUAGAUAUAGAUAUAAUGACCACGCGAUAAUGUCACGUGUAGCCCUUCAUUGAGGAGUGAUUACCAGAAAUUAUGUGGGGUGAUCCAUAUUUUUUAUAAACCUAGGACCCCCCUUUUCUUUAUUCUUUAUUCUUUUAGCAAUUUAACUCCUUAUUCUAAAAAAUCAGCUUUUCUAAUUGUUCUUUCAAACUUUAUUUACUUUCAAACCAGCAUGUGUUGAAAUUCCCUCUUAUUUGAGCCUUAUUUGCUUAUAUGGUAAUUGCACUCCAAAUUCACAAUAAUUGUUUGGCCGGGAACCACACUAGUGGAUUCUGAGGGGUGCCUAACACCUUCCCCUUGGAAUAAUUUCAAGCCCUUACCCUAUCUCUGGUUGUUCAUAAACUCGGACUCCGCGAGGAAAAAGGGGGCACGACAGCCUGGCGACUCUGCUGGGGAUCUUUAGGCUUUUACCAUUUCAGACUAUUGUUGUGAGUUUAUGCGCAAUUAUUUAUUUAUUUCUUUUAAGCAUUCAAUUUCCUUUUCGAUUGCCAAACUGACUUGUCUUCUUGUUUCUUUCCUUUACUGUUUUCCUUUACUACUGCUUUAAAUUAUGAAACUGUUGUAUUUACUGCUUUCUUAAAUAUGCAAAUACAUGACAACAUGCCUUUAAUUGUUGCAUAAUCAUGUUCGACAUGUUAUUCCACUCGUGCCAAAACAAAUCCUAUAGCAACGCUUAUAAUGAGUAUUUGCGCUCUUCCGAUAUUAUCACCUCCUAAAUCCAGAAAAGACGUAUUUGCGGUAAAACCAGUCGAUUAACGGUGUAGUCGACGGUUCCGUGCCUUUCCCCCUUGAGUUGUCCACUCAAGGGUAUCAGUCUAAAACCCCAUAGAAACCUUACUCUCUUUGAAUUGUGCAUGCAUCAUGGUCAGCCUACCCGAGUAAGUUAUGUUGUCCGCAUAAUGACUCCUUCAGAUAGCCUUGUCCAAAGUCCACUAGGUUUCCCUAAACCCAAACGGACAUUAUCAUGUUCUAUGCAUUUAUUUAGGAGAACUAAAUGCUUUAUGCCAAUUANNNNNNNNNNNNNNNNNNNNNNNNNAUCAGACUCUUGUCCCGAAAAAUAUUUGGGGAAAUCCUAUCUUCCCCUUCUGGAAAUCCAACCCAACAAUAAUAUCAUAGAAGCUGCUACUCUAUUCUGGGAUUGCAAGAGGUCUAUGUUCUGUUUCGGGGAUAUUGAAAUGACCCCCUUGAUAGAAGAAAUAAGAGGAUUGGCUGGUAUACCGUGGGAAACUCCGGGGUCUGUUAAUGCCCGAGAACCGCAAGGGCAGGGGUUUCCUCAAAAUGAUGGGUUUAAAGAAGAAUUCCGGAACUGACAUGUCUGAAAGAAUCCUAUAUCCCUUUUGAUUAUUUGUACGAGAGGUACGGUCACAACAAAUCCUACUGUACCUAUUCAGACGAGUUUGCUAUCACCUCAUUAGGGCAUAUUCACCGAAGGGUCUUUGUUUUCAUGUUCUAUUUCCUGGGUAUGAUCGUGUUUCCAAUGAAGAAAGCAAGGAUCCAUACCAGGCUGGCUAUGGUAACUAAAACUCUGAUGGAGGGCAUUGGGGGGCAGCCAUUUAGUAUUGUGCCCAUGAUCAUUGCGGAAAUAUAUCGAGCCUUGGAAAAGUGACAACGAGGAGCCAAAUACUUUGAGGGAUGCAAUUUGGUACUUCAGCUCUGGUUUAUGGAGCAUCUUCAAAGAGGUGAAUACCGACAAGAGAUCCAGCGAAGAGAAUGGGAUGAUCAUAUCGCUUUCCAUCAUCCGAGGCGAAUGAAUUACAUGCCCAACAUGUUCGCCCAGCCAGAAGACGCCAAGGGAUGGGUAGAGCUGUUCGAAAAUCUAACUGAGGAUUAGGUACAAUGGAUGUUUGAGUGGUUCCCUACCGAGGAAUUCAUCACUCAGUCCAGGGAUGCACCCUUUCUGAUACUGAUCGGUAUGAGAGGAAUAUACCCUUACAUCCCUCUCCAGGUUAUGAGGCAAGGUAGUAGGAAACAGGUUAUACCCAGGGUCGACAAGAUGAGUCAUUUCCGGGCUGACUUUUAGGCUGAUGAUAGUCCUUAUAAGUGCCAAGCUCAGCAUAUGUGGCACUGCAAGAUCAUCAUGGGAAGAGAUACCAUUGAGCCAGACAGAUACCACGCUGGUUGCGCUCCCUACUAUUCGGGCUGUUUGGAAGAUAAUCACGAUGGUCUGGGCCAGCCAGGGUUUGCUAGGGGUCACAGGAUCAUAGAUGAGAGGGCCGAGGCACAAGUUAAAUACAAUCAACUAUGCAAGAGGAUCCGGGAAUGUGAAAGCGAGCACCGUGAGAUACAAGAAGCCAACCAAAAGCUGAUUGGGGAGUGGAAAGACAUGGUUGUUAGUGCCAACAAGCGACCGGAAUACUUGGAGCGAGGCAUAGUGGAGCUAUAAAGGAAGUUUCUUAAGAGGGUCAAGGACUGCCAAAAUGCUGAAGGAAACAAAGCCGGACGUCUAGCCAAAGCCUACCUAUUGCUGGGACUUCGCGAGCUGGGAAAGCUAUUCGACAGAGCCAAGGAUGCCGAGUCUGGGGAGGGUCCUUCUGGGACCAAGUAGACAAGGAUUUUUCUUUUGCUUUAUGAAAUGUAAUAAGGCCAAUGGCCAUUAGUGACUUUAUUUCCUAUUAUUUAAUGUCAAUUUGAGAUUCGUCUAUUUUUUUUUGAUCAAUGAAAUGAGGCAUUUAGCAUUCUGAGUUCUCCAAAUCAACUUGUCGCUAGGCCUACCUCGGGUACAAAGAGGUUCCCAAAUUAGCACGAUUUACAUUCUUGCAUUAUGUGUUUAAACAUUGCCACAUUUUCUUAUAAUCCUCACUAACUUGUUACCUUUUGUUGUUAUUUUUUGUUUUAUUCCCCUCCUCAAAGGUUAGUUCGUGCACUCUGGCAACAUCAUCUUAUUCCACGAGAUCCAGGGGCCCUCCACUCACUCCUCCUCUUAGUCUUGUCAGAAACAAGAACAAAGGAAAAAUGGAAGAUUUGAACAAUGCCAGAAAGGAGAAUUCAACUAAACAGGUAGAGGUCACUCAUGGUCAUGGUACUUUGGUUCCUAAGGAAAGUGCAUCCCAACUUGAACAAAAGCUACUGAAAUUUCAAGAAGAACUUGAUCAGGUUCGGAAUUUGGCGAAUCUGUCAUUUUCCCUCACCACUCCAGAUGUCAAUUUUCCAAAUGCUCAGAACCCUACACCUCCACAAAAUAUCCCUAAAUCAUAAAACCAUCCCUCUCCUCACCACCACUACAACACCUUCCAUACUUCCAACAAUACUCCACUGCUCGUCCCAAAACCCUUGAACUCCACAAAUGACCACUUCCAUACUCAUCACAACACUCCUAUCUACGUGGAGACCAUGCCACACUCCACACGACACAUUUCAAGCACACCCGAGUCUGAUGAUAAAGACUCGCUCAUCAGGAACCUGGCGGAAGAACUUAAGAAAUUGACUAGAUGAAUUCAAGGCGUUGAAGGAAGUAAGGGAAUUGAAGGUCUAAAUUAUGAGGAUCUUUGCAUAUAGCCCGAUGUCGAACUGCCUGAGGGGUUCAAACCUCCGAAGUUCGAAAUGUUUGAUGGUACAGGGGAUCCAAGGGUCCAUUUGAGAACUUACUGUGACAAUUUGGUCGGAGUAGGGAAAGACGAGAGAAUCCGCAUGAAGCUUUUCAUGACAAGUUUGAAAGGAGAUGCUCUGUCUUGGUACAAUAGCUAAGAUCCGAAGAAAUGGUCAAGCUGGGUAGGCAUGGCGUCCGACUUUAUGGACAGGUUCAGGUUCAACACGGGGAAUGCGCCGGAUGUGUUCUACAUUCAAAAUCUAAAGAAGAAACCUACAGAAACAUUCCGCAAGUAUGCUACUCGCUGGAGGUCCGAAGCUGCUAAGGUCAGACCUGCUUUAGAAGAGGAACAAAUGAACAAAUUCUUCGUCCGGGCUCAGGACCAGCAAUAUUAUAAAAGGCUGAUAUUGAUUGAGAGCCAUAAAUUUUCUGACAUUAUCAAGCUGGGUGAAAGGAUUGAAGAGGGCAUCAAAAGCGGUAUGGUUACGAACUUCGAGGCUUAGCAAGCUACCAAUAAGGCCUUAUAGUCUGGUGGUACAUCCAAGAAAAGGGACGUAGGGGCCUUAAUGGUUGCACAGAGAACCGAAUCUCUUAUCAAAUACCAAACCUAUCCAAUGCCUCCAUUCACAUAUCAACCUACUCCAAACUACCAAGCACCCUUACCCUCUUACCAAACUCCACCACCCACUUAUCAAUCACAUCCACCUCCCACAUAUCAGCCUACUUCACCCUGAUAUUCCCAACCUACACAUGUUUACCAAGCCUACAAUGCUCAACCGUCCCACUAUCAAUCGCCUCCUACACGCCAAAACUUCCCUAGACCCCAACCAAAUUUUGACCGCAGACCUCCAAAACAGUAUAAAACCAUUACUGAACCCAUUGACCAGUUGUACGAGAGACUCAAAGCUGCUGGUUAUGUCACCCCUAUCCCUGUUGUAACCCUUGAGGACCCUUCUUAGUGGAUUAAUCCAAACAAAUCCUGUGCAUACCAUUCCGGCAUAAAAGGGCACACCAUCGUUGAAUGUCAUUCCUUGAAGGAAAAGAUCCAGGAUCUGAUUGACAACAAUAUUAUUGUGGCAAAGGAACCUGCUCUAAAUGUAUGCAACAACCCUCUGCCAGACCAUAAGGGUGGAGGCAUUCACAUGAUUGAAAUAGAGGAUGAUUGGGAUCCUGAGGGGUCUAUCGGGUUGAUCACAGAAGGUGAUGACCAAAGGAAGCCGAUAAUUACUCUUAAACCGAUCGUGGUCCAGAUUCAGCUCUCGAGGAACACUGAAAAAAAUAUGUCCGUGCCACUUGAGUUUGAAACCACGUCAUCUACAAAGACACCAAUGCCAAUUGAGGUCGAAUUCGUGUCUCUAGCGAAUGCACCUACGCCAUUCAAAGUUGCAGUUUUUCCUCCCAAGGCCCAUGCUCCAUUCGGAGUAAAGAUAGCAGCGCUGAUCCCCGUAGCGAUGUCGACCAUGACACUAUUCCACACAAAGGCUAUACCAUGGGACUGUACAACUGAGGCAAGGAGGAAAGGCAAGGUUAGGUUCGAGAAAACUAUUGCCGCACAGGGUAUGACAAGAACUUGUAGGUUCUAUACCCCGGAACACCUAGUUGAGUCAAGCAAGCAGGCCUCCAAUCGGUCGCCCAUCAUUGAGACGGGUCCAGACGAUCUUUGGAGAAUGAUACAGGCCAAGGAAUACUCGAUCAUCGACUAGUUGAACAAAACACCGGCACAAAUCUCCAUACUUGCUUUGCUACAAAAUUCUGAGGCACACAAGAAUGCUCUAUUGAAGGUGCUGAGUGAAGCAUACGUGCCAAACAACAUCACUGGCGGGGAAAUGGCCAACAUGGACGGACAGGUAUUGGAAAGUCACAAAAUUACUUUUCUUGAGGAUGAGCUACCGCUUGAAGGGUUAGGACACAACAAAGCGCUGCACAUCACUGUGCAAUGCGAAGGCUACUUCAUCACAAGGAUCCUGAUCGACGGGGGUUCCAGUCUCAACAUCUGUCUACUGGUAACACUCAAGAAGUUGGGAAAGGGGCUGCACGAGGUAAAAUAUGGAGCCAUCAACGUGAAAGCUUUCGACGGUUCCCAAAGGUCCACUAUUAGGGAGAUUAGUCUGUGUUUGCAAAUGGGGCAAACUUGGUUCGAUGUUGAUUUCCAGGUAAUAAACGUGCGAGCAUCUUACAAUAUACUGUUGGGACAGCCAUGGAUUCACGCUGCCGGAGCCGUAGCAUCAACACCGCAUUAGGCGAUAAAGUUUGAAUGGAAUCACUAGGAAGUGAUCAUUCACGGCGAUGGUAGCAAUCCUAUAUACAGUCGCCAGACCAUUCCAUCAAUCGAGGGGAGAAAGAAGCUGGGAGGAGAGACUUACCAUCACAUCGAGUGGGUAAAUGCUAUUGACAAAGACAAAUGAUGGGAUGACAAGAUCGAAAGUAUACUAAACUGGAGUGGGUACGAACCUGGCAAAGGGCUCGGAAAGAACCUCCAAGGAUUCGUCAAGCCCAUAAACUCAAGAAACAUGGCACCACUUUCGGUAUAGGAUAUGAGUACACUUGGGAAGAAUUCAAUAACUGGUCGCCUCUAUGGCGCAGUCUUUACUAUCCACUGGAGCAGCCAAUACCACAUUUGGAGCAGACUUUCCAACCGGUCGAUGUUAUCUAUGGGUCAGAAGAAGAGGAAGCACUGGCAGCUGUGAAAAACUUGUUCUUAUAGGACAAUGACAUGGAUUGUUAUGUUGUUCUCGAGGAGGAGGGGAGGAAGACCCUUCCGUACAGGCUGUAAGAAGAGGAGCACGCCUCAAUAACUAGACCAUUAGGACAACCAGGGCCCGACGAGCCUCGAGGUAGCGAGGCUAAAACAAGCACUGUUUUGAUUUCCUAAAAGAUUUUUUUUU
rnacentral:lncRNA from 1 species